rnacentral:piRNA from 1 species
UGCAGAAGCGAGGCGUUCACUCGUCCAUGA